CCCAGAAGCGGCCUGGCGUCCGUACGGAUUUCCACCACAUAAAUAUAAAAAAAAAGAUCUUUCAAACCAAAACAACGUUGAUAUUCCAAGGUACAAUAAUAUAAGUCACUCUCGUUUCAAAUUUUCCGUUUACUCAUGUGCUGCUACAAAACUAAUAAUCAGUCGAAUCAAGUACCUGUAUACUCUUCUUUAGAGAAUAAUUAAAAACUGCAUUGAAUGGCAUCUAAAAAAUGUAUUGUAUCAUUUAGAAAAACAAAGACAAAAUCAUCGGCAGAUGUCCCUCUCGAAAUAGGACAAGUUCUAUCUGAAAAACUAUUUUCGAAUAAUGUAUAGUUUGUAUUUUACUAUAUUAUUUAUCGUAAUUCCAUGUUAUUUUUAUACCAUAUUAUUUUAUAUUUAGAUAUUCGGUAUAAAUUCGGUAAAAUUUAAAAUGUGAAAUAUAAAGCUAUUAAGAUCUGGAUUUUGAUUAAUGAAAAAAUCUUUCUCGAUUGUUAUCGAGUAAUUGAUUGUUUGUGAGAAGCAAAUUUAAACAGAUUCAUGAAGCUUUUCUAACGACGAUUCACAUAAUUUAUUGCUUGCUGAUUGAUAUAUUAAUUUUUAUCAUUUGAUUAGAUAUGAAGCCACUGUCAUGAAACGCUAUUUGUUCGGAAAGGUUUCUGAGUAAAUUAAUUUAUUACUUGUGUUAAUCGGAUCUAACGGAGACGUCUAAUCAAACUUAUUGUUGCAGGUAGAAAAUGAAGUAAGGUAAUGGAAGGUCAUUAGAAACGCGAUGUAUGCGUCUCAAACUCGUGAUAAGAUAAGCGUCAUUGUUCAAAGAAAUAAAGAUGCGAAAAAUAUAUUAUAGAAAGAAACAUAUUGAGUUUACAGAAAAAAAUGUCGAUUGUGCUUUAAUAAAAAUUAUAAAAUUCUGGUAUAAGGACGUAGGUACAACUGUGGAGUGGGGAUUAUGACCGAAUGCGGUGACGUCUGCAAACAGCAGUAUUUUGAGGUUCAAGAUUCUAAAAAAUUAUAAGAAUUCGGAUCGACAUGUUAAAACUUCUAAUAAUGGUAUAUUUAUUUUAACGGAAAGCAACAAUUGACAUCUGACACUGGCGUAUCAAAAACAAAGACUACAUAUUCUGAAUGUAUAUUGUUAACACUGUUAUAAAAUAUUGCGAGGAUAAAAAAAGUGUGAAGCAAGACAGAUGAAUAUAAUAUGAAAUCCGCGAAAGCCACUAUAGUGGAGCAUCGUACCUAAGAGGUUAAAGGACAAAGGAUAAAUAUUUCUUUGUGAUAUAAAAUUAUGACAACUGAUUUUUUACAUAGAUAUGUAAAUAUAUAUGUUUAUUUAUAUUAAAAAUAUAAUUUCUGGAUAUAUUACAAUAUAUUAGGUACAACAUUUAUUGUAUUACAAAGUUAUAAAAUCAAGGUGUACAAUAUUACUAAUACUCUGUUCUGUAUAUAUGAUAUGUGUGUAUAUACAUAUACAGGCUGUACCACCUAAUAAUCACCACGAUUUUUCAGGCACUUACUAUAGUCUGACGAAGAAAUGGUUUAAAUAAAAGUUAAUCGACUUUCAAUCGGCUAGAAAUUGCAAUACAAGAAAUUU